ensembl:lncRNA
CUCAGCUGCUCCAUGACAUGUGGGGUCUUCCUGGACCAGGGAUCAAACUCGUGUCCUGUGCACUGGCAGGUGGACUCUCAGCCACUGGGCCACCAGAGAAAUCCAAAAGAGUUCUGGUUUGAAUUGACCUUUCUGCUCCCCCUCAGGGUUUUCCCAACUGGAGCUCAUCCUGGCAGCAUCCUGGUUGACACUGGAGGUGGACUGAAUCCUGCCCACAGACUUUCCUGAUGAUAUGAAUCACCGGAACAACAGAAGUGGACCAGCACGCAGGAUCUGGAGCUCAGGGUGGCAGAGUGAAAGUGAAGUGAAGUCGCUCAGUCCUGUCCGACUCUCUGCAACCCCAUGGACUGCAGCCUACCAGGCUCCUCCAUCCAUGGGGUUUUCCAGGCAGGGUGGCAGAGAGCAGCCUGUAAUUCUAACAGCCACCAACUCUGGUUAUGCCUCAGUGUUUCUCGCUUUUGUCCUUUGUUCUCAACACAAAACGUGACUAAGAACAAUGUCUUGAAGUAUGUGAGCUGGUCAAGAACAGACAGUAAAGAGGGAUGCUUCCUAGUGUGCAGGAGACAAUUUAGGGAAGAGAAAGGCCAAGCUGAUUGAGUUGUCAAAUUCUUCCUCUCAGGUAGCAACAGAUUGUUACUUAAUCAGUUAUUUCUCAGAAGUGCUGAGUUCUACCUUCUGUUUCUCUUGUGUUCUAAUUUGGGGUCCUAGAGGUACUCACAAAUUAGCCAAACAGCACAGGAUUCAAAACAGUUGUAUGUGCUGGAUGAAAGGCAUUUUAAAAAAUUAAUUAACUUAUUUCAAUUGGAAGUGAAUUACUUUAUACUAUUGCAGUGGUUUUUGCCAUUCAUUGACAUGAAUCAGCCAUGGGUGUACAUGUGUUCCCCAUCCUGAACCCCCCUCCCACCUCCCUCCCCAUCCCACCCCUCAGGGUCAUCCCAGUGCACCGUCCCUGAGCACCCUGUCUCAUGCAUCAAACCUGGACUGGUAGUCUAUUUCAUAUAUGGUAAUAUACAUGUUUCAGAGCUAUUCUCUUAAAUCAUCCC